rnacentral:lncRNA from 1 species
UUUUUUGCGUUUACCUCGCUACAACUCUGUCCAUUUUAAUAUUUUUUUUCUGAAAUUUUUACACUAUAUAGCUGUAACAUUUCUGAAGACAAAGGUAUCUGCCUCAAGUUUUUAUUCUUAUUAUGAUAAAGGUUAUGAAUUUUUCAAAGAAAAA